GAUGAGACGUAGUGAAAUGCGAUACUUGGUGUGAAUUGCAGAAUCCCGUGAACCAUCGAGUCUUUGAACGCAAGUUGCGCCCGAAGCCAUCAGGUUGAGGGCACGUCUGCCUGGGCGUCACAUAUCGUUGCCCAAUGCCUAUUGCAGUGCAAUAGGAAUUUCUAGGGCGAAUGAUGGCUUCCCGUGAGCGUUGUUGCCUCGCGGUUGGUUGAAAAUCGAGUCCUUGGUAGGGUGUGCCAUGGUAGAUGGUGGUCGAGUUAGAACGAUACCGAUCAUGUGCAUGCUCCCCAAAAUAUGGCCUCUAUGACCCACACGCGUCUUUUGACGCUCAUGACGAGACCUCAGGUCAGGCGGGGCUACCCGCUGAAUUUAAGCAUAUCAAUAAGCGGAGGA
rnacentral:misc_RNA from 1 species